rnacentral:misc_RNA from 1 species
GAUGAAGAACGCAGCGAAAUGCGAUAAGUAAUGUGAAUUGCAGAAUUCAGUGAAUCAUCGAAUCUUUGAACGCAUCUUGCGCUCCUUGGUAUUCUGAGGGGCAUGCCUGUUUGAGUGUCAUUAAAUUCUCAACUACACUGACUUUGAAUUGGUGUGGCUUGGAUUUGGGGGGAAAAUUGUUGUGGGCUUUUUGUAUAGUCUGCUCCCCUGAAAUUGAUUAGCGGUACCUUUGUGGAACUGUCUACAGGUGUGAUAAUUAUCUACAUCUUAGACAUCUGCUGGAAUGCUGCUUUCUAAACCUUACUUGUAUUGACAAUCUUGACCUCAAAUCAGGUAGGACUACCCGCUGAACUUAAGCAUAUCAAUAAGCGGAGGA